rnacentral:rRNA from 1 species
UGGUGGAGUGAUUUGUCUGGUUAAUUCCGUUAACGAACGAGACCUCAGCCUGCUAAAUAGUUAGACAUAGAUUUUCUAUGUUUCUAACUUCUUAGAGGGACUUUCGGUGGUUAGCCGAAGGAAGUUUGAGGCAAUAACA